GGUGCGAUGGCCGAGUGGUCUAAGGCGCUGUGUUUAGGCUAGAAUAAUUAUUCUUACUUAUAACCGCAGUCUUCACGGGCGUGAGUUCGAAUCUCACUCGCAUCA